rnacentral:rRNA from 1 species
UACGUAGGGUGCGAGCGUUGUCCGGAAUUACUGGGCGUAAAGAGCUCGUAGGCGGUUUGUCGCGUCUGCUGUGAAAUCCCGAGGCUCAACCUCGGGCUUGCAGUGGGUACGGGCAGACUAGAGUGCGGUAGGGGAGAUUGGAAUUCCUGGUGUAGCGGUGGAAUGCGCAGAUAUCAGGAGGAACACCGAUGGCGAAGGCGGAUCUCUGGGCCGUAACUGACGCUGAGGAGCGAAAAGCAUGGGGAGCGAACAGG